CCUACGGGAGGCAGCAGUGAGGAAUCUUCCACAAUGGGCGAAAGCCUGAUGGAGCAACGCCGCGUGGGUGAAGAAGGUCUUCUGAUCGUAAAACCCUUUUGUUAGAGAAGCAAAUGCGUGAGAGUAACUGUUCACGUUUCGACUGUAUCUAACCGGACAGCCACGGCUAACUACGUGCCCGCAGCCACGGUGAUACGUAGGUGGCCAGCGUUAUCCGGAUUUAUUGGGAGUAAAGGGAAGGCAGGCGGUCUUUUAAGUCUGAUGUGAAGGCCUUCGGCUUAACCGGAGUAGUGCAUUGGAAACUGGGAGACUUGAGUGCAGAAGAGGAGAGCGGAACUCGAUGUGUAGCGGUGAAAUGCGUAGAUAUAUGGCAGAACCCCAGUGGCGAAAGCGGCCUUCCGGUCCGUAACUGACGCUGAGGUUCGAAAGCGUGGGUAGCAAACAGGAUUAGAUACCCGGGUAGUC
rnacentral:rRNA from 1 species